UACGAAGGAUGCAAGCGUUAUCCGGAUUUAUUGGGUUUAAAGGGUGCGUAGGCGGACUUAUAAGUCAGUGGUGAAAUCUCGUUGCUUAACAACGAACGUGCCAUUGAUACUGUAGGUCUUGAGUACAGAUGCCGUUGGCGGAAUGUGUCAUGUAGCGGUGAAAUGCAUAGAUAUGACACAGAACACCGAUCGCGAAGGCAGCUGACGAAACUGUAACUGACGCUGAGGCACGAAAGCGUGGGGAUCAAACAGG
rnacentral:rRNA from 1 species